rnacentral:rRNA from 1 species
GACGAACGCUGGCGGUGUGCUUAACACAUGCAAGUCGAACGAAGUGGCGAACGGGUGAGUAAUACGUGGGUAACCUGACCUCCUUUUUGGGAUAAGCAUUGGAAACGGGGUCUAAUAACGAAUAAAGGGGGAUGGGCUCGCGGCAUAGAAGCGUGUUGGUGGGGUAAUGGCCUACCAAGGCGGUGCCGGGUAGCCGGCCUGAGAGGGUGACCGGCCACAUUGGGACGUAGAUACGGCCCAGACUCCUACGAUAGGCAACAGUGGGGGAUAUUGCACAAUGGGCGAAAGCCUGAUGCAGCGACGCCGCGUGUGUGAAGAAGGCCUUCGGGUUGUAAAGCACUUUCAGCGAGGAGACGUUACUCGCAGAAGAAGCACCGGCUAACUCCGUGCCAGCAGCCGCGGUAAUAC